GAGAACUUAAGUUGCCACUGCCACGUCCAGGCCACUAUGGCGCUUGGGCCGCCCAGGAGCUCUAGGCCAAUUUGGCAGAGAUCAGAGCUCCAAUCCAGGGGAGUCUCGAGGAGCUGGUGGAGUGGCUGCAGACCUACACCUGCCAGACCACAUCGUGCUGAAUCAGCCUGUUUUGAGAGGGGAGGUCGGGGACAAAGCCGUUGUCUGGAAUUCCCAUGCCACCACCACCCAUGGGACUCCCCCCUCUACAGCCUCCUCCACCACCCCCACCACCUCCACCAGGCCUUGGCCUUGGCUUUCCCAUGGCUCACCCACCAAAUUUGGGGCCCCCACCUCCUCUCUGUGUGGGUGAGUCUGUGGAACUAUCAGAGGAGGAACAGCUGAAGCUGGCACAGACAGCAACAGGCAGCUUCACUGAUGCAAGAGGAACGUGCCAAACAGGCAGCUGUUACUGCAGCAGGAGCAACAGCAGGGGAUUGCCAAGAUGGGCACGCCAGUCCCACGACCUCCACAAGACAUGGGUCAGGUUGGUUUUCACACUUCUCUGGGACCUCGAGUUGCCGCUCCAGUAGUCCCUGUGGGCCUCACUUCUACUGUCCUGCCAAUGGGGACCCUGUUCCUCGGCCUCUGGGUCCCCCCGCCGGGCCCUGGAGAUGAGAACAGAGAAAUGGAUGAUCCCUCUGUAGGUCUCAAGACCGGGCAGGCAUUGGAAAAGAUUUUGCAGCUGAAGAACAGAGGUCAGAAAGAGAUGAACUCUCAGCAGGAGGAAGAGGGAGAUCCAUGUGACAGCACAAGACCCUAAGCUCUUAAUUCACCUCAAGGCCUCUCGGAACUGUGUUCCUGUGCCAUGCCACUGGUGUUUCAAGCACAAGUACCUGCUUCGAGCUGCCAGACUUUAUCAAAUGCACAGGCAUUCAGGAGAUGUGGGAGGCCCUCCAGGAGAAGGAAGAAAAGACCAUGAAGUCCAAAAUUCGAGAGAAGGUUCGGCCCAAGAUGGGGAAGACCGAUGUUGACUACCAGAAACUGCAUGACGCCUUCUUCAAGUGGUGUCAAGAGGCUGACCAUCCAUGGGGACCUAUGAGGGGAAGGAGUUUGAGACAAGACUGAAGGAGGAAAAGCUGGGAGACCAACUGAUGAGCUGCGGAUUUCCUUGGGGAUGCCAGUAGGACCAAAUGCCCACAAGGUCCCUCCCCCAUGGCCGAUUGCCAUGCAGCGAUAUGGACCACCCCCAUCUUACCCCAACCUGAAAAUCCCUGGGCUGAAUUUGCCUAUCCCGGAGAGCUGUUCCUUGGAUCCCACGCUGGUGGCUGGGGCAAACCCCAGUAGAUGAGACUGGUAAACCACUUUAUGGCAACGCGUUUGGAACCAAUGCUGCUGAAUUUCAGACCAAAACUGAAGAAGAAGAGAUUGACCAGACCCCUUGGGGGGAACUGGAGCCACCUGACGAAGAGUCCUCAGAAGAAGAGAAGAGGAGGAAAGUGAUGAAGACAAGCCAGAUGAGACGGCUUCAUCACACCUGCAGAUGAUGACCUCAUCACCCCUGGCAGCUUCUCAUCAGUGCCAGCUGGAAUGGAGACCCCAGAACUCAUUGAGCUGAGGAAGAGAAAGAUCGGGGAAGCGAUGGAUGGAAGUGAGACACCUCAGCUGUUCACUGUGCUGCCAGAGAAGAGAACAGCCACUGUUGGAGGAGCCACAUUUAUGAUAUGUCCACAGUCAUGAGGCGGAAGGGCCCAGCCCCUGAGCUGCAAGGUGUGGAAGUGGCGCUGGCACCUGAGGAAUUGGAGCUGAACCCCAUGGUCAUGACCCAGAAGUAUGAGGAGCGCAUGCAGGAGCAACAGGCACAAGUGGAAAAGGAAGACUUCAGUGACAUGGUGGCGGAGCAUGCUGCUAGACAGAAGCAGGAGAAACAGAAAGCUUAGCCCAGGACAGACUCCUGGGGGCAGCAAGAAAUGCAAGGAUUUCAAACUCUAG